AUAGGGUCUCACUAAGUCGCCCAGGCUGGGCUUGAACUUGGAAUUCUCCUGCCUCAACCUCUCAGAGUACUGAGAUUACGACCACACCCAGCUCCAGCACAACAAGCUUUGAAGGACAGAAACAACAGCACCUCUCCCAGCACAAAGCAAGAGCAAGCAGCGGAGGCUGAAGGAAGAGGCAUCCUUGGGGUGAGUGAGACAG
rnacentral:lncRNA from 1 species